GACGUGCACAAGUCCAUGGGGCCGGAUGCGCUGCAUCCGAGCGUGCUAAAGGAGUUGGCGGAUGCAGGUAAAGAAAUGGAAGGGAACUGCUGGGAAAUGACUGCCAAAUGGAGAGUGCCCUGUGGUCCCCACGUGUGAUGCUCCACUAUGAAAGGGCAUAUUGGGCCUCCUCAGAAACCAGUGGUGCUCAGCCUGAGCAUUGUUUCCAGCCUGGGGAAGCGUCUUACUACUGACUUGAGAAAUCUGGAACUGAACAGUUGUGGGAAUGAGACAUCUGAUGAUCACUCUGUGACUGGGGCUCUGGGCACGACAGAAGCGCCCAGACUUGGCUCACCUCGAGAGGCACAGAAUAUUGGACAGCAAGUAAUUUUUGAAAAUGUAAGCAAAUAACCGUGUUCUUUACAGACAUGAAGAGGGCAUCUUCAGAGAGGCAGAAUCACAGGGGCUGUCCCAUAUGAUGGUGUCCUCAGCAGCAGAAGCCACCACAGUAUUCUGCCAGGGCUGGGCAUGCAGAACUGGGGUUGUGAGCAACUAUAGGCUGACUUCGAACCAUUCCAGCAUCAUCACUCACUUUAACCUGCAGAUGCAUCUCCAUAAAUAGCCUAGUCCAGUCAGGUGCUGGCUGAAAAUUGCGGAUCUUCCUGGAGCAGAGAACCUCACUGAGAACCUGUGGGGUGGGAGUUUAAGAGAGACGCUUCUGCUGAAGAAGUCCUUGGUGGCUUGCUACCAGUGAUUCCAAGUUGACCCAGUUGCUGGAAGAAGCCCUGGCCGGGAACAGCAAGACCAUGGUUAUUUUCUGCCUGUCUCCAACCUUGGAUUCUUGGCACCUAGCGGCUGUGCUGAAGACCUGUAUAGCUCUCUCACAAGUUAAGAACUUCCCUGUUUUAAAUGAAUACUUUGUAGAGUCAUUGCUUACUCAGUACUGGGCAAGGAUCCUGGCCCUUCAGCACCGACUAUAUGAACACAUGGAUCUUAGGAGUGCCAUGGAGAGUGAGAGCAUAAGCACCCUCCGAGAACAGGUCCAGUGCCUCACCAAUGAAAAUGUGCAGCUGCAGGAUAGGAAUGAAAGACUGUACACAAAGCUUGAAGAACUGCAGGAGAAGAUGGGGAAGCUGGCUGGUUCCAAAACAGACUUGUCAUCCAGACUGGUCUUCAGUGAGGAGGAGAAACUUAAGAUUUCUAAGGACCUCAUUGAUCUCCAGAUCGAGACAAACAAAAUGAGAGAGCAGUAUGAGGCAGAGAACUUUGAACUGAAAAAUAUGAUCCUGACCCUGGAGAACCAUAUUCUGGAGUUGGAGCUCCAUGAUGAGAAGGUCACUGGGGAGCAUGAUGCCCUACAGGAACGCCUGCACACUGUAGAGACCAAUCGCAAGGAGCUGGCUGAUGAGUACAUCAUUCUGAAAAGCAAUUAUAUGGCCCUGGGCAAAGAACAUGAACAGGAGGUUGCUAAGAAUGAAGAGCUGAGCAUAGAGCUGCUAAACCUGGUCAACCCCAGGAGCUCCCUUCCUCAGUCAUGGAGCAACAACUCCCCGUCCCAAGCGCUGGCCAAUGAAACCUCAGCUGAGCUGGAAAGGGUGCGGGCUGUGGUCCACCGCCUCUCUGCCCGGAAAGUGAAGCCAGAAGAUAUAGUUGCCUCUGAACACGAACGUCGAAAACUGGAGAGACAUAUGCUUGGAAACCAGGAUCACAUAAAAGCUGAGAUUGAAAAGAUGAAGCAAACGUAUGAUUCUCAGCAACAGAAGCUGGAACAGAGAGUGGUGGCAAUGGGGAAGGAGCUGCAGCAGUCCAAGAGAGUGAUUCGCAAUACUCAGCACAAACUGGUGGAGCAGUCAGUGGUGCUGCUCACCUCUCAGAGCCAGCUCAAAGAGGUGGAGGUUGAGAAUUCCCAACUGCAACUUCAGCUGAAGGAACUGAAUGAGGAAUAUCGCUGUCGUCUUACUCAGUACAUCAAGGACCUGGCGGAAUAUAUGGACAGUAAAUCAAAUGCUUCUAAGGUGCCUAACAAAGUACCAGCUGACCAUGCUUACAUGAAGCGCUUUGUGGAUGGCAUGGUGAAGGACAUUCGGGCUGCCCAUAAAUCUCGGGAGGAGCAGCUGGCUGGAGCUGUGCGUAGUUACAAGAAGCGCAUGCAGAACCUUGUCAAGAGGCAUGAAAACCUGCUGAUUGCUUAUAGGAUGCAGCGUGAGCAGAUCCAGUCUCAGGGCAGCAGCGAGAUGGACCCAGGCCCUCCUGAGUUCCAUUUCACCAUCACAGAUUCUGAGCUACUGACAAGCACAACCCAGGAGCUAAACCAGCUGCGAGAGGACAAAGCAAAACUAGAGACACAGCUGCAUGAACUGCAGGAGACGAAAAGACUGAGUGAAAGCUCUGCGCUAGGACCAUCUCUUCACCAGAAGAUCUGGAGAAGGAGAGAAGCCAGCUACUCACUCGGGCAAUUGUGGCAGAAGAGCAGGUGCUGGAGCUGCAGGAAUAUGUAGAUAAGCAUCUUGCAAGGUGAGAUGGGGAUCCCUUCAUCUGUCCCUUGCUCCAUGCACAAGGCUUACUUCCAGGGCUGGUGAAUACUGUGAUAACUGCUGCCUUCCCACAGCGCAACCCAGCUAAUGUUUGAAAGUGAAUCCAGCUUGUGAGCAGCUGGCUGUCUCAGUAACUCAGCACGAUCAAGGGAGUUUGCAUCUGUCCUUUCCAAGGCAUAAUAUUUCCUUCCUCUGGGCUGCAGCCCACCCUGGGGAUGAUGAAAGCUGUGUAGGAGGCUAAGGAGGGGGGUGAGUGGGGAAGACUGUCUAGAAUUCAAAGCCUUUCCAUUUUGCAACUCUUAACAUGUCGGCUGUCAACCACUGGUUCAUCACAGCCACAACAAGGGAGAAAAGCUGCUAGUGCUGCCACCAUCAGGAGGCGCUAUUACACAGCUUGUACAACUGCAACCAAUUGCUCUUAAAAACAGAGGACCAAAGUCAUAACUGGUGUAACUCCCAGGCUUGUUGCUGAUGGAAUCCCUUGGCUGAGUUCCUAGGUAUUAGUUCACAUGACAGGUUGGGACAAAUCUAGCAUUACCCUUAGCUGUAGUUUUCCCCCUGUCUGGAUAGUGUUUGGGAACUUGACUUCAGUCUCACAUUGGCUUUACAAUCUCAGUCGUCAGCAGGGUUCUUAUGACCGCAGCUGAUGCAAGGUUGACAUUGCUUUUCUUUGUAACCUAUGUUUCUUUCAGGUACAAGCAGGAGAUCCUGAGGUUAAGGAAAUUUGUAGGGAGCGAGGCACCCAGAGCAUUCAGUGCUGGGGCUUCUGAUGCUCACUUAAUGCAGAGAUCCAAAAGGACCAUCAGCCAUGAACUGUAGCUUUUGCCAUGGCCCUGACAAGCAGCAGUCAUUAGUUCAUCAUAGGAAAGACAAGGACAUAAAACUGAGUGGCUGCCUGGCUGUAAUAUUCAGUGCUCUGUCACACCAAGAGAUAAUUCACUCCAGCGAGCGCUCUUCAUACUGGGGCCCUCUUACUAAAGGACUAGGACUUGCUGAGAAGGAAAUCAGCAGUAUACAUUUGACCCUACAGAGUAAACAGUAAUGGCCCAGAAGGGGGCUGGCUCCAUGGAGAUGAGAAGUAAACACCCAAACCAAGCCAAGGACACCAAUGCCAGCAAGAUCUACAGUACAGAUCCGUUUACGUGAGGAUGGGGGGAGUCAAGCCGUCACAACUGCGUGUUAACGGACCGCGGGU